CAUCUCCAGGCGCCGAUACAUCUCCCGACGCCGAUACAUCUCCCGACGCCGAUACAUCUCCCGACGUCGAUACAUAUCCCGACGCCGAUACAUUUCUCGACGUCGAUUUAUCGCUCGUCGUCGCAGAUUUGGCAAGAAGUAAAACAAGAAUACGGAUCGGAUCGAAGGAAACUGGAAAUGGAUGAGCCAUGGAGAACACACUUCAACACUGUAGCAAACUUGGCCCUAUAGAGUAAUCAACAGGGGAUAAAAACUUGCCUCUCAUAAAGAAAGGGUUUUGAAAUUUGUACAACUCGAUGUAAUUUCCAUAGUGUGUCAAAAUAACAGCGUUACGCUUGUUACGCCGCAAAAUGUAAUGAUCAACACAAAAUGAAAUCUUAACGCGAAAUGUAAUAACUUUCAACGCGAAAUGUAAUAAAGGUUUAACGCUAAAUGUAAUAACUUUUCAACGCAAAAUGUAAUAAAAUAUUUAACGCAAAAUUUAAUAACAUUAUCUAUUGGCUAAUAGUUCUAGUAAUAUUAGGAAAAUUAUGAAAUGUUAACACGUAGAGACAAACAGAAGGAAUCGUUUAUUAAAAGAAAGGCAGUGCGA